GAUGAACGCUGGCGGCGUGCCUAAUACAUGCAAGUCGAGCGAACAGACGAGGAGCUUGCUCCUCUGACGUUAGCGGCGGACGGGUGAGUAACACGUGGAUAACCUACCUAUAAGACUGGGAUAACUUCGGGAAACCGGAGCUAAUACCGGAUAAUAUAUUGAACCGCAUGGUUCAAUAGUGAAAGACGGUUUUGCUGUCACUUAUAGAUGGAUCCGCGCCGCAUUAGCUAGUUGGUAAGGUAACGGCUUACCAAGGCGACGAUGCGUAGCCGACCUGAGAGGGUGAUCGGCCACACUGGAACUGAGACACGGUCCAGACUCCUACGGGAGGCAGCAGUAGGGAAUCUUCCGCAAAGGGCGAAAGCUUGACGGAGCAACGCCGCGUGAGUGAUGAAGGUCUUCGGAUCGUAAAGCUCUGUUAUUAGGGAAGAACAAAUGUGUAAGUAACUAUGCACGUCUUGACGGUACCUAAUCAGAAAGCCACGGCUAACUACGUG
rnacentral:rRNA from 1 species